ACGAACGCUGGCGGCGUGCUUCACCCAUGCCAGUCGCACGCUGAAGCUCAGCUUUUGUUGGGUGGAUGAGUGGCGAACGGGUGAGUAACACGUGAGUAACCUGCCUCCUUCUUUGGGAUAACGCCCGGAAACGGGUGCUAAUACUGGAUAUUCACUGGUCUUCGCAUGGGGGUUGGUGGAAAGGGUUUUUCUGGUGGGGGAUGGGCUCGCGGCCUAUCAGCUUGUUGGUGGGGUGAUGGCCUACCAAGGCUUUGACGGGUAGCCGGCCUGAGAGGGUGACCGGUCACAUUGGGACUGAGAUACGGCCCAGACUCCUACGGGAGGCAGCAGUGGGGAAUAUUGCACAAUGGGCGCAAGCCUGAUGCAGCGACGCCGCGUGAGGGAUGGAGGCCUUCGGGUUGUGAACCUCUUUCGCUCAUGGUCAAGCCGCAACAAUGGUUGUGGUGAGGGUAGUGGGUAAAGAAGCGCCGGCUAACUACGUG
rnacentral:rRNA from 1 species